AGGGAAUUUUGCGCAAUGGACGAAAGUCUGACGCAGCGACGCCGCGUGAGGGAUGAAGGUUCUCGGAUUGUAAACCUCUGUUGAGUGGGAAGAAAGCGUUUGCGGGUAAUAUCCGCAAGCCUUGACGGUACCACUCGAGGAAGCCCCGGCUAACUACGUGCCAGCAGCCGCGGUAAUACGUAGGGGGCAAGCGUUGUUCGGAAUUACUGGGCGUAAAGGGAGCGUAGGCGGGAGAGUAAGUUAGAAGUUAAAUGCUCAGGCUUAACUUGAGACCUGCUUUUAAGACUGCUUUUCUUGAGUAUGGGAGAGGGUGAUGGAAUUCCAGGUGUAGCGGUGGAAUGCGUAGAUAUCUGGAAGAACACCAGCUGCGAAGGCGGUCACCUGGCCCAAUACUGACGCUGAGGCUCGAAAGCUAGGGGAGCAAAC
rnacentral:rRNA from 1 species